UCCCCAUAUUUUUGGUUGCUUGUGCUGGGGGCGGCCCUCCCAGGACCUCUUGGCCGCACAAACAAAAUUGUGUGUCGGCGGACUGCAUAGAUGAACGAGACGACCUGCGUCGGGGAGCAAGUGCAUCAGUGCAGAGGCGAACUGCACGCGCGACCAUGACAUACUGCACUUUGAGAAGGGGGCGCCAGCGACCUCACGCGUCGAAGCUCUUCUCCCUACCUCUUUGGGGCCUGUUCACGGGGGUGAGCUCCGGCACAUCGUGGUCGCGUGCUAGGCCCCGACUGUCAGCUCGUCUUCCACGGCAACCGGAGAAGACGAGGGGGGGCUGUGGCUGAGCGGGGGAGAGGAGCAGAGGCGGGAUCAGGGACUUUGGGCCGUGGUCGGAGAGGAAGAAGCCCGGGCUGGAUGCAGCGGGAUGGGAGGGAGGAGGUAGAGGAACGAGGAGGAGAGAGCCACCGGCG
rnacentral:lncRNA from 1 species